GGGGGUGAAAGGGCUCGACUUAGGCAGGUCGGGUAAAAGGAGCAUGCCGCGGACGUAAGGUUUGCCGCGUUAACAAUCCUUAUACAACUAAACGCAAAUACACCGCGUUUUCAGCUUACCAACCCAUUAGCCGUAAGGCCAAUGGCUGGUAUGCCGCUAGUCUUCGCUAACUAAUUUAGCGAAGCCUCUAUCUAUUCAGUCCACGGGAUAGAAUAGAGCCUAAGUGGAAUAGCUGAGCUUUUUGCCUUUGGGGGCUUGGCGAAACUCAAAAAGGCUGCGGCCUACGCGAUCCUGUGUAGCGGAGCGCGUGGGAACAAGCGUAAAAGCUAUACUGAGCAUGGAGCGCCUUUUAUCUGAAUGUUUAAGGACCCCGGUCCAAUUCCGGGCACCUCCACCA
rnacentral:tmRNA from 1 species